AGUGAACGCUGGCGGUAGGCCUAACACAUGCAAGUCGAACGGCAGCACAGUAAGAGCUUGCUCUUACGGGUGGCGAGUGGCGGACGGGUGAGGAAUACAUCGGAAUCUACUUUUUCGUGGGGGAUAACGUAGGGAAACUUACGCUAAUACCGCAUACGACCUACGGGUGAAAGCAGGGGAUCUUCGGACCUUGCGCGAUUGAAUGAGCCGAUGUCGGAGUAGCUAGUUGGCGGGGUAAAGGCCCACCAAGGCGACGAUCCGUAGCUGGUCUGAGAGGAUGAUCGGCCACACUGGAACGGGGACACGGUCCAGACUCCUACGGGAGGCAGCAGUGGGGAAUAUUGGACAAUGGGCGCAAGCCUGAUCCAGCCAUACCGCGUGGGUGAAGAAGGCCUUCGGGUUGUAAAGCCCUUUUGUUGGGAAAGAAAAGCAGCAGGUUAAUACCCCGCUGUUCUGACGGUACCCAAAGAAUAAGCACCGGCUAACUUCGUG
rnacentral:rRNA from 1 species